rnacentral:rRNA from 1 species
UUUGAAAAGAGAGUUAAAAAGUGCGUGAAACCACUGGAAGGGAAGCGAAUGGAGUUCGCAAUUUCGUGCUCCGCCUCGAUCUUUCUAGACGAGCGUUGUGCGGUCGCGUUACGUGGGCGGUGCACUUCCGGACGGCGAAAGUCAACGUCGGUUUGCCGCGAGUUAAAAAGCUGCGAGCACGGUAGGUCCGUAGGCUUGCAUGCACUCGCUGCAGACUGGUUGCAGCGCGUGCCUGCAGGCUGCUGUCUUUGUCGUUGAAUCGGUGUAAUGUCRCUGGACGGACGGCUUUGCCUGUGCGUCGGGGUGCGGCCGUUCAAACGACGAGGCAAACAGACACGACGCGCUGAGGACGUUGACCGCCCGGCGACUCCAUCCGACCCGUCUUGAAACACGGACCAAGGAGUCUAACAUGUGCGCAAGUCUCAGAGCGAUCGAAACUCGUUGGGCGUAAUGAAAGUGAAUGCAGUCUCGGCUGCGGAGAUGAGAGGCGCAGCGGCAUCAUCGACCGACCUAUUCUACUCUUAGAAAGGUUUGAGUUAGAGCGUACCUGUCGGGACCCGAAAGAUGGUGAACUAUGCCUGAAUAGGGCGAAGCCAGCGG